GGAGACAUGGCUCAGUGGUUAAGAGCACUGGCUUCUCUUCCAGAGAACCCAGGUUCAAUUCCCAGUGCCCACA
rnacentral:tRNA from 1 species